rnacentral:lncRNA from 1 species
AAAAAAUCUCUCUCCUCAGUUUUUGUUCAAUUAAUCAAAAUGCAUAUGUUCAUGCUGGGCAUAGUUAUAUCAGAGAGAAAAUUUGCUGUGGCGUUUCAAACAACUGGGGCAGUAACAUGUCGCAAGGACGGCCUUGCACGCCCAUCAAUCUUCAAUAAUAUCAUUGUCAUUACUAUUAUUAUCUGAAGUGUUAAAUUGUUACCAGAAUCGAUACAAGUGUGCUACUUCGCAUAUAUUGUAUCCCACCGUUGUUUUUAACAUCUCUGUUAAGAGACCAAUUAAUUUCCAGCUCAGAGCUUCAGUGAACUUUGUGUGUCAGGCUUCCUGGCUUGCUCCCCACUCCCACUCCCACUCCCACCCCACCCCCGCCCUUCGCCCUUCCCUUAUUUCUCCUUUUGAAAGAGGACAGAAGAAAAGUGGUACAGGAAAUACCAAUACGUCACUUGCUGAUUAAAAUAAUAUGAAAUUAUUCCUAACUAUAAAGGAAUAAAAUCUGCCCAAACUCGAGUUAAUACAUUUGUAGGAAUUCUCCCCGGCUCCCGGCUCCUAAGAAAGAAAGAAUCAUUUCCCCGGCAUUCUGUCAAGUCUUACGGUUUAGGAGCUCUUUGACAUUCACUGAGAUUAGACUGGCCGUUUUUCCUUAAGCAGAAUAUGAAGGUAGUUAAAGGAAGGAUCUUAAUACAUCCAUCUGUUUUCUUCUAGAUUCGUUGGUAUUAACGCAUCUGACAUCAACUAUUCAGCUGGCCGCUAUGACCCAUCCGUGAAGCCCCCCUUUGACAUAGGUUUUGAAGGGAUUGGUGAGGUGGUGGCCUUAGGUCUCUCUGCCAGUGCUAAGUACACAGUGGGCCAGGCUGUGGCUUAUGUGACUCCCGGUUCCUUUGCCGAGUAUACAGUGGUGCCUGCUAGCAUUGCAAUUCCUAUGCCUUCAGUGAAACCUGAAUAUC